UCAGACCUCAAAUAAUGCAAAGAAAACAAGUUCAUAUUCAUAAAGUUUUAGGAUUUCAGAAAUCAAUAUUUGGUAGAAUAACCCUGGUGGUUUUUAAUCACAGUUUUCAUGCAUCUUGGCAUCAUGUUCUCUUCCUCCACCAGUCUUACACACUGCUUUUGGAUAACUUUAUGCUGCUUUACUCCUGGAGCGAAAAUUCAAGCAGUUCAGUUUGGUGGUUUGAUGGUUUGUGAUCAUCCAUCUUCCUCUUGAUUAUAUUCCAGAGGUUUUUAAUUUGGUAAAAUCAAAGAAACUCAUCAUUUUUAAGUGCUCUCUUAUUUUUAUGUGCCUCCCCCUUUAUUUUUGCUCUUAUUUUAUUGGUUCAGCAUGGCUUAGCUUAGCUCCUCUUUGCAUGAAGUCCAGACUCUGCAUUUCUGACUCUUGUUACUUUCACUCAGACUUCACGUCAGCACAGAUCUGCAGACGGUCCUGAUCGAUUGGGAUUAUAAUAAUGUCAAAUAUUCACACUAAACAAGAAGCUAUAUGCAUUUCUAUCGAGUCUGUGCUACAAAAAUAAGAAAAGAAAUAAAAGAAAAUGUUUAUAAUUUUGAGUGAUUUACGAAGGGUCUUGCUGGAUUAUGAUUUCUGCUGUGCAGCAAAUGGUUUUAAGGCAGCCAUUGAAUACAUGUAUUAUUGUACCUGUUUUGUGUUUUCAUUGUAGGAGAAUCAAUAAAUUUGUUCAAAGUUG